UGGGGAAUUUUGCACAAUGGGGGAAACCCUGAUGCAGCGACGCCGUGUGAUUUAGAAGGCCUUCGGGUUGUAAAAAUCUUUUCUAUGGGAAGAAAAUGACAGUACCAUAGGAAUAAGGACCGGCUAAUUACGUGCCAGCAGCCGCGGUAAUACGUAAGGUCCGAGCGUUGUCCGGAAUCAUUGGGCGUAAAGGGUACGUAGGCGGGUAAGCAAGUUAGAAGUGAAAUCCUAUAGCUCAACUAUAGUAAGCUUUUAAAACUGCUCAUCUUGAGGUAUGGAAGGGAAAGUGGAAUUCCUAGUGUAGCGGUGAAAUGCGCAGAUAUUAGGAGGAAUACCGGUGGCGAAGGCGACUUUCUGGCCAUAACCUGACGCUGAGGUACGAAAGCGUGGGUAGCAAACAGG
rnacentral:rRNA from 1 species